rnacentral:piRNA from 1 species
UUAAACUUGAGUUCCUUUGAUGCC